rnacentral:rRNA from 1 species
UACCCGCGCCCCUAGUGGUGGUCGAUAUUAUUGAGCCUAAAACGUCCGUAGCCGGUCUUCUAAAUCCUUGGGUAAAUCGGGCAGCUUAACUGUCCGAAGUCCGGGGAGACUGGAAGACUUGGGACCGGGAGAGGUCAGAGGUACUUCUGGGGUAGGGGUAAAAUCCUGUAAUCCUGGAAGGACCACCGGUGGCGAAGGCGGCUAACUGGAACGGACCUGACGGUGAGUAACGAAGCCCUGGGGCGCAAACGGG